CCGGAUUGCAACUAUCUGAUCUAUGAGUACAUGAAGAACGGAUCGCUUCAAGACAUGUUAAAAAAGACGGUCGACGGCACACAAGAGCUCCCAUGGCCAACCCGGCUGAGAAUUGCGCAAGGAGUGGCUGCUGGUUUGGAGUACCUGCAUACACAACAUUCACCUCGGAUUAUCCACCGUGAUCUGAAACCAGCCAACAUCCUCCUUGACGAUGACUUGGAGGCAAAAAUUACGGAUUUUGGGUUGGCAAAGGCAAUUCCGGAUGCUAAUACUCACAUGACGACAUCCAAUGUAGCCGGCACGGUGGGGUAUAUCGCACCGGAGUACCAUCAGAUGCUCAAAUUCACUGAUAAGUGUGAUGUUUAUAGCUUUGGAGUGAUACUUGCAGUAUUGGUGGUUGGGAAGAUGCCUUCUGAUGAAUACUUUUGGAAUGAGGGGGUGGGCAUUGUUAUGUGGCUGAGGAAUAUUAUGCAAUCCGGGGAAGGUUCUGUGGAAGUUGUCGAAGCGGUUGAU
rnacentral:lncRNA from 1 species